CUGAAUAAAGAAUAAAUGAUGUAGAUAAAAAUCAUUAAUAACACAAUCAGAUGUGUUCAGGUGUUAAAUGUGUAGCUCAACAUUACUAUGUCCUGAUCAAUGAGCUUUGCCUUAAACUGAGUAGAGUGACUUUGUCAUUGUGUUAUUGUGCUGAUCCCAACAGGAUGCAGGUUAAAGACUGGAAAAUACAAAAAUUGAAAAACAGCUCUCAUAAAUAUCAUUGACAACGUGCUGCUACUUCAAUAAAGAUGUAGUGACUAGGGAUGGGUCACGAUUUUCGAAUUUCGAAUAGUCGCUUUAUUUUUGAAAAUAAUUCGCUGUCUUAUUUCCCCCCCUUUAUUUGACAUGCAAUUCAGCUCCUAACCACACGAGGGCAGUCUAGGAUUGCUACAGCGGUGUGAGAUGGGCUACCAGCUGGUUUGAUGCUCUUCUACAAACAGGAGAAACAUGCAGAGACUACUACUCUGCGAGGAAUGUCUGCAGUUAUUCGGGCUUUCAUAGUCGAGCGCACUUCUGCGUUGUAGUUUCCUGUAAAAAUGUCCGUGAAAAAUCCCCGCGAUGUGAAAAAUACAUGCCAAGCAGUCACCGGUGUGCGCACACAGGGAUUGCGGACGUCCGCUUUGAGUCCACGCGGACCUCCGCGGAGUCCAUUCCGCAGACGUUCCACCCGAGUAUGUUCGGGCCUUUAAAGAUGAAUGGAUCUCUGUGUGCGUGGCUCCGGGGGGGGGAUUAUUCGAAAAAUUGUCAUAUAGUUGCCAUGAUUUUCCAAUAGUGUUUUUGCUUGUGCUGCCUAUCCCUAGUAGUGACUUCACCUCUUAAACUCUGCCAGCUCCACCAGUGGCUCCAUCAUCACUAACUCAUGUUGUGCAGCCAAACACAAAUCACUUAUUCAAAGAAUCAUGAGGGUAAAUUUAAGUUGAAAUCAAGUGUUUAAAGCAGGGCUGUUAAUAUACUUUGAUGCAGUAGAGAUGCUUGAUUAUCAGGAAUGGUGUCGUGUGAAAUGUCCUGAACACAAGUAUUUCAGAUAUUGUCAGGAAUUAUAGAGCAACUUUUCUUCUUUUUCUUUGUUUUUGAUGGCACUUCCAGUUGUUUAGAUUUUCAAGGUAGAAAUGUGGGACUUUUACUCUGGAAUAUCUCAAAAUACUGAUACAGUAAAAAUACUUGACUUCUGUGUCUGUAUGUUGUCAGACAUGUCCUCAACAUCAGGAAUAAUCUUUUUCAUUUUCAUUUCCAGCA